ensembl:lncRNA
UGCUGGAUUUUGGUUGAUUUUUUUGUGAAUGUUCCUAAGAAACAUUUUUAACAUUUCUUUUUUUCCACCAAAAAAUGUUCAGAGAUUUCCCAAAAAUGUUGAAAAUGUGGACAUCAGAAGUUUCACUGUGAAAAUAUAUUUUUUUCCCACAUUUUCAAACUUUAAAACGGGUCAAUUUUGACCCACAGGACGACACGAGGGUUAAAGCAGGUUUUACUUUGGCUUUUUAAUCAUGUUUCAUCAACCAAUUUUCAAUUUUUAUCUUGCAAUAAUAUUCACAACUAAAAAAGUAAAUUUAUUCUGUUUAUUCUGUUGCUGAAAAUGAGAAAAACAAGAAACUAAAGAAAGAGAAGCUGCAAAGUUGUAAAUUAUUUAGGAAUAAUGUGUCAAAAAUGACCAAAUUAACAUUUAAUAAUGUUGUUUUAAUCGGCACAAGGACAGCAAUUUACUAAAAUCAUGGAAUACUCGGUACAUUUAAAAUUUUCAGGGUUUUUCUCAACAUAAUCUGCCUGUUAAUAUCUGAAAUAAAGAGCUGAACCUGCCCUGAACUGACGUUUUACCACAAUAUUUCUUAUAAGAAGGGCAGGAUAAUAGGUAAAUAUAAAGAAACAGAUGAUAUUUCCUGAAUUUUUAAGGUUAAAAUCUCCUUUUUGAAGACAAACUGCUUCAGCUUCACACUGUUUUCAGUUAUUUUUCACAGCUGGGACGUCUGACUAACUUCUUUCUGCCUUUUCUAACAGCAGUUAUCUGCUUUUGUUGUUGAAUAAGUGCUUUUUCUUGGUACUAGUUAAUGAAGGCGUUCUUGCAAGGAGAAGCUAAAUGGAAUCAGUAAUAAUGGAGGCUGUAAUACUGUAAAUACUGGAUUUAAGAGGUGAAGCUAACUGCUAGUAAUUUCGCUCCUGAAGAACACACCAAGGCUCAUAAGGAAUUAUCUGAACUAUGUCUCCAAACACUGAAACUUCUCACAACAUUGUUAACUUUACAAGAUUUUUAGCUAAUUUUAAGCUAGCGUGCUAGCGUUUAAAAACAACUCUUAAUUGCUAAAUAUCAAUUCAAAUUGUAAAAAAAUGUGUAAAUCAAGGUGAUCAUUUUACUGAAAUGGGAGCAAAUUGUGUUAUUUAGUUGUGAUUGCAGAUAAAACCAGAAACUAGCUACAGUACUAGCUCAGUUUAAGUAGCAAUAGCUUGACAUGCUAAUCAGCUAGCUUACAAGACAGCUCUGCAGCCAAAACAAAACUUCCUUCAAAGCAUUAUUUGAAGGUUUACAUUUUCUUUCAGUUAUUAAUUGCUAUGAAAAUUACAAUGUGCUACUGCAGCUGUGUCAGUGGGCUAACACGUAACAGCUGAAAAACGAAGCUAGAAACCUAGCUCAGUGUUAGCUUCAUCAGCUGGAUACUAAGUUUACCAAAACUACAUUUUUACAAGAAGAAAUACAAUAAUGUGUUCUGGUCACUGUGGGAUGCAGUUACAGAUAGCACCAGGAACUAGCCAGAUCACUAGCUAGCUAAAUUAAGCUAGCAAUAUUACUAGCUUGACAAGCUAGUUAGCUAGUUUACUAUCAAGCUGAACUGAGCAAAUAAAACUUACUUAGUAGUGUAAUGGGGUUUAAAUGUUUAGCUACUACUUUAGUUGAUAAUUACAACAAAAAUCAGAGGUUGUUACUGCAGUUUUAGCACUGUGAUUACAGGCAACAACGGAAACAUAAAGCUAGAAAACUAGCUUAGUAAGAGCUUGGUGAGCUAGUCACUAAGUUAGCUUACCAAAACAAAAUUUAAAACAGAAAAUAUUAAUUUUAGGGAAACAAAGAAGUAGACGGUAGAAACACCAGAUACUAGCUAGAAAACUAGCUACAUCACUAUCUCACACUAAACUGUAUUACCAAUAUUACUAGCUUCACAAGCCAGUUAGCUAGUUUCAAAGAAAGCUAAAGUAAAAUUCAGGCAUAACUAAAGUAAAAAAAAACAUUCUUUUUUGUUUUGGAGUACAAAUUUUAAAAAUAUGCAAACCAAGGAAAUAAAUUUACUCACAAAAUGCGUUACUGUGAUUGUGGGACUGUGAUUACGCACAACAUCAAACCCUGGCUAAACUAAGCUAGCAACAGCUAGGUCAGCUAGCCAUCUAAUGUAAAAGCAAGCCAGAUGAGAAAUUAAAACCAAAUUUAAUUUGUAAAGGAAAUUAAGUCGAAACUAGGAUGCAACUAAAACAUAUGCAAACCAACGGUAUAAAUUUACUAAUAUGUGGGAAGGAAUUGUGUGGUACAAUUACAGGUAGUUCCAGAGUAGCUAGCUAGUAGCUACAAAAAACUAGCUAUAUUGCUAGCUUAAAUCAAUUAGCAAUGUCUCGAUGAUCUACUUAGCUAGUUUACAAGGAUGCUGUAACACCAAAACAAAGCCAUUUUUCUGUCAUUUUUUGUACAGUUAACAACAAAUAUGAAGAAACUAGCUUGGUGCUAGCUGAACAAGCUGGUUGCCAAAUUAGCUAACUAGCACGCCAAACUGAACUUAUUGUUAGACAAGUAAUUAAUUAGUUUUAAUUAAGGUAAUUCACAAGUAUUAAGAAUAUUUGGGGGAAAUGUUGAUCUCAGAACAGUUUUUUGAAGAAAUGUUUUUCAGUUGAGGGUGAAAAAUGGUCGUCAGUUAAACAGGUGAUGUCGGGUAUAAAGUAGUGAUGCCGUGAUAUUUUAGGUCUUUGCACAACGUGCCAGCUGAAAGUCUAAAACACACUUUUUUAUAUAUUAAUUUGUGAUUGCCUGCGUUGUUUGACAAUGUAAAAUUGCAAAUCCUGCAUCAAACCCAAACUUAUUUUAGCUGCCACGGUUUCAUCCAAACACCACGAUUAGGUUCAGACAAAUUAGUGUAAAAACGGUGUGAACUGCUGUCAUAUUUUCCUCAUUUUGGUGACUGUUGCUCCUAAAACCUUAAAGGACAGAAUCAGAGACGAGCUCCAGCUACCACUUUAUUUCUCAGUUGCCUCUAACUGGAAGGAUUUUCUGAACUUCGUCCACAUUCCCAGAGAUUAAAGGACAGUGGGAUGUUGUACUGAAAGUUCCAGCUCACCAUGUAGCCUCAACAGUAUUUAAACUGUUGGCUGUAAUGUUUUUAAAAUCUGCAUUAAAUGGUUUUAUUUUUGAUGUUUUUUGGUGCUAGACGAUGACAGUCUGUUGUAGUUCCCUACUUAAGAGUCAAGGAUCCACUUGUUCAAAGCGUCAAACUGAAGGAAACUCUAAUAUUGGUGAAUUCAUUCUAAAUGCUUCAUUGAACCUGUUUCUGCUCGCCACCCGGCUAUACAUUCUUUUAUCUGAAGAGUUUGGAAGCAGAGUGGUCUGACCCUCUCUCUGCAGUUUUUGGGUUCAAAGUUUCUUGUUUUCCAGAAUGGUCUCACGUUCCUCUGUAACGCUGUAUUUGGGUUGUGGUUUCGAGCACUCUGCCACUAAAAUCUAGACCAUAAAAUAUUAGAGAAAUGAUAUAAAAUUCAGUUCAGAUUUCAGACACGUAAAAUGCAUAAAAAAACCCAAUUUUUCAUCCACAUUUUUUUUGGCUAAAGUCAUUCACUUCCACAUUUGUUUACUAUAAAUCCACUGAAAUUUGAACUCGUCACACACAUUUCAGUUUGACAUAUAAAAGUACAGGUAUUUUAUUAUUAUUUAACUGUAAUAAAAACAGAGAAGAUAGUUUUCCUCAUUACAAAACAGCAGUGGCUCUUCUAAACUUUCACUUAUUUGUAGUUUAGAAGCUGAUAAUAAUUCUGAGCUUUACUUUGAGUAAAUACACAAUUUGUUUCUCAUAAAUAGACUGCAGAUGCUGGCGUCCACACAGCAGGGGGCGCUGCAGAGGGAGGUUUCUGUGGAUUAACAGCGGGUGUUUGUGGCUUUGAAUAACUCUGCGAUCCAUUGCUGAUCCGUCGGUGGCGUUAGCUGUUAGAUUUUGCGCUCCGAGGAGCUGAUGGCAGUCGUGUUUCCGGUUGACGCUGUGUUUUUGCUGACGGUAGCUGUGAGUAGUUUAACGGUGAAACACUCAGUGGUCGUUACGUGCAUGAAGUCUGUAGUUCUGUUUCCACCUAGAGCUGAGUGUUGUGUUUCCAUCAUUCUGUCAGGUUUCACGUCUAUACGUUCGUCUCUGUUCUUAAGGAUCGAUCAUUUUUCUCCUCAGUCGUUGGUUUCAGUUCAUCUCUUGAAGCUUGAAAAUCGAAUGCUAUCGACCUUUAAAAUCCUGCAAAUAGACAGACGGUUAUAAUGGAGGAAAUGCUUCCAAAAAUCUUUAUAUUCUCAAAAUAUCUGGUCAUAAGACCAAACACGAGAGACAGACGUCAAAUCUCAGAGUCCUUCAACACAACCAAAGUGUUUCAGUAUGAGUUUGUAGACUGUAGUUUUCUGCACACAGUAGGGUAAUUCCAUCUUAAAUCAACAGUUUCUGCUCGACUGUCACUGAUUUGUCUGAAUUUUUAAAGCAGGAAAUGUGUUUUUUAUUACGAUAUAUUUGAAAUUUUAGCUUCAAUACUUGCUUGAGAUAAAACAACUCGUCAAACCUCCGCAACUGGUUAUCAAAAUGUAGCAAAAUUAACUUUUUAUUUAUCAUUUUUCUAAACAAAUAUGUCAUAUUAAAAAUAUUCUACAUGUUUAGUUCUGUAUUAUUGUGACCUGCAGCUACAUGUGGUUCAGAAAACAUCACUAGUUAACUCCUGCAUUAUCAGGUUUUUUGUUAAUAUGAGCUCAAAGAUGGAACUUUUCUUGACACCCUCAAAUUUUUUCAUUUUUCACAUCACCAGUUAUCAAAGACUAUUUGAUCUACUUGUCCAGUCUUACAGAAUUAAUGACUUUAAGAAAAAAAAUUUCAGGUUUUUAUCUUUAAUAGUUGCUCAGAUAUUGUUGUUCAAAGUGCCUCAAAUUUCAAUGUGAGAAAAGAAACUUGCUGAAAGUGGCUCAACGGGCAAAACAAGUGUUAAAGCUGUGAUAUAUCAAGCUAAAAUUUGACAGAUACAUUUGAAAUAUGUAGAGUUUAUGAUUAAAAAACAUUUCAAGCACAUCAGGGCUGGUCUAGUAGAAGGAAACUGAUGAUCUGGUGGAAUAACCUGGCUAAGAAAAUGACAUCUUUAGGACUUUAUGUGUUGGUUUUGCAUGAAGUCUCACUUUUAACAGAAAUGAACUGAAAUCAGUCUGAAAAGUGAUGCAGGAAUAUAAAGUUUGCAGUUUUUCAGCCAAAAGAUGCUCAAACAGCAAACUUUUUCUUCAAAAUUUGUAUCACUGAAAGCACAAAAGAUCCUGCACACGAUCCCCUCCGUCAUCUGGAUCAGUGACUGAACUCCAGAUGAAAACAGAAUCAAAACAACCCUAAAAAUGACAAAUUUCUUUGCUGCUAACCGCAUAAUCAACACGUUUUAUUCUGUUCACAAAAGGCCAAAGAAGGAUCAGGACAGGAAGAUGUGGAAAUCUGCUAUUGUGCUCAAAUAGUGCACAAAUGAAGAAUCUGAAGCUACAUAUUAUUAUUAUUAUUAUUAUUAUUAUUAUUCUUAUUAUUAUUAUUAUUAUUAUUAUUAUUAUUAUUAUUAUUAUUAUUAUUAUUAUUAUUAUUAUUAUUAUUAUUAUUAUUAUUAUUAUUGAACAAAAACCUCCGAUUCAGGCAGAUUUUCAUAUCUAAAUAUUUUUAAUUUUCCUGUUUUUGUGCACAUUUGAGCGAACUGUCAGCUGAGCAUGGAUGGAUUCAUGAACCGGCACAGGUCCAGACGCACAGAGAAUCAGCUGUACGUGAAAAAGCCACAAAGUGACGACAAAGAGAGAAAAACCUGCAACACAUAGAUGAAAAGUGACAAGAACUAAACAUAAAAUGAUCACAAUAAGCAGCAAAGCAACCGCAAAGACACAAAACAACCACAAAGAAAUGUAGAAUGACCACAGGCACAAAACAACUACAAAGAGAAACAAAACGACAGCAAAAAGACACAAAACAGCCACAAAGACACACAAAACAACCACAAAAGUGAGACAAAACAACCACAAAGAGAUACAAAACAACCACAAAGAGACAUAAAACAACCACAAAGACAAACAACCACUGAGAGACUUAAAAUUAGAGACAAAACUAGCACAAAAAACCACAGAGACACAAAGCAACAACAAAAACACACAAAACAACCACAAAGAGACAUAAAACGACCACAAAAAGACACAAACCAACCACAAAGAGACACAAAGCAACCACUAAAAGACACAAAACAACCACACAGAGACACACAAAACAUUGACAGAAAUGUUUAAAAUGGUCAGAAAUUCUCUCAGAUUAACAACAAACAGACAUGAACGGUUUCUGGUUCUUCUAAGCGUCCAGGACCUUCUGGUUGAUGAUCUGGUUCUUCUAAGGACCUUCUGGUUGAUGGUCUGGUUCUUCUAAAGACCUUCUGGUUGAUGGUCUGGAUCUUCUAAGGACCUUCUGGUUGAUGGUCUGGUUCUUCUAAAGACCUUCUGGUUGAUGAGCUGGUUCUUCUAAAGUUGUUCUGGUUGAUGGUCUGGUUCUUCUAAGGACCUUCUGGUUGAUGGUCCAUCCCUGCAGUGAAGAACGUGUUGCUGCUUCACUCUGUUGUGUUUUCGUUGGAUGUCGCUACUUAGACGUGAACUUUUUCUGCUUCUCUGCGUCCGUCGUGCCUCCGUGGCGGCGGCGUCACCUGUCGGCCUGCAGCCAAUCAGAGGCCACGGUGGGCAUCGCUGCAACCCCCUCUGGUGUGUGUUACUGUGUGUGUGUGUGCUGGUGCAGUGGUGUGUGUUCACCUCAAACGCUCGUGCCUCUGGACGUCCUCCAGACCUUCUGUUGCUCUUCGGCUCCAUAGAUGAUAUCUGUAUAUUUUUGCAGACAGAAGCUGUAUUUUUUUUUUUUUAGUUUAAACGGUAAAUUGCACUAAUUGUCUUACAGAUGCUCUUAGAUGUAACGUUCAGGUUAUUAUGAAUGUUGUCAUAACUAAAGCUGAGUAUAUAGUACAUAUAUAUAUAUAUAUAUAUAUA